GUUUUACUUGAGCGCUUGGGUCUUUCUUUACAAAGAAAACGUCAAGGAAGCCUCUGCUGAGAUGACUACAGAAAGACAAUGCUUCCAGAAUUGGGAAGAGAGACAGGAAGAUGCUUCAAAAGUGAGAAUUUGAAAAGGUGCAAUGAAAACAAGCAAGGGAGAGGUCUUCAGUGGAGGCUACUGGAACCUGACGGAGCUUUGUGACGAGUCUCUGUGUCUGCACUCCAUGCACACUGGGGAAACAUUUGCAAACUGUCACAGAUUAACAUGGACAGUAUGGACAGAAAUUAAGAGUUGCUUGUAAAUAUAGAAACCUGAAGCCACAUCCAUAAUAGACUCCAUACACAAAUUACUUAUCAAUAUUGCUACUUGCAUUCGGUGUGAUAAGUGGCAAAUCUCUAACUGCAGAAUUUAAAACAAAUAAGUAAAUGGACCAGACAGUCAAAUACUGCAGAGAUGCAGUCAAACCUCAGAGAUACAGGAGAUAAGAAGGGUGGGGGGAAGCCAAAUCUCUUCAAUCUUUGCAGAUGCUGUCAUGCUUCUCUGAGGUUGUACUAAAAAAAGUCUUGUUUCUGCUCUCCAUUGCCCUUGAA